rnacentral:rRNA from 1 species
GCGUGGGUGAAGAAGGUCUUCGGAUUGUAAAGCCCUUUCGGCGGGGAAGAUGAUGACGGUACCCGCAGAAGAAGCCCCGGCUAACUUCGUGCCAGCAGCCGCGGUAAUACGAAGGGGGCUAGCGUUGCUCGGAAUUACUGGGCGUAAAGGGCGCGUAGGCGGUCCUGUAAGUCAGGCGUGAAAUUCCUGGGCUCAACCUGGGGGCUGCGCUUGAGACUGUGGGACUUGAGGUCAGAAGAGGCUCGUGGAAUUCCCAGUGUAGAGGUGAAAUUCGU